UACAGAGGUCCCAAGCGUUGUUCGGAUUCACUGGGCGUAAAGGGUGCGUAGGUGGCAAGGUAAGUUUGAUGUGAAAUCUCCGGGCUUAACCCGGAAACUGCAUUGAAUACUAUCUUACUAGAGGGUUGGAGGGGGGACUGGAAUACUUGGUGUAGCAGUGAAAUGCGUAGAUAUCAAGUGGAACACCAGUGGCGAAGGCGAGUCCCUGGACAACUCCUGACACUGAGGCACGAAAGCUAGGGGAGCAAACAGG
rnacentral:rRNA from 1 species